AAAAUUUGUAUACCCCAUGACUCAGCCAUUUUACUUACAGUUUAACCCUAAGUAUUUGGACACCUGUACAAGAACAUUGAUUGUAGUUCUCUCUGACACAGGAAAACAAUCAAUCUGGAAACAGCCCAAGUGCUCUUGAGGGAAUGAGAAAAUGAAUGGUGCUGUAUUCGCAGAAUGGGAUACUAUACAGCAGUGAAAACUUAAUAAACUACAGCUAGAUGCAACAGUAAGUAUGAAUCUGGGUACACUAAGUUUGAGUGGAAAAAAAAGCAAUCACCAUAGAUUAAAAAUGGUAUACAUAAAAAUGCACAAUAUAUUCUUUAGGUAUAUAUACACAUGAAAUAUGGCUCACUUUUAUAAAGCAAGAAAGUAGAAAACACAAAACUCUUGAGAAAGUGGUUGGCUGACAGAAGGAUGAGUGGGUAAGUAUGGAUCUAGGUUAGAACAGGAAAACAAAGAUGAAUAUGUAAUAUUGUAGUUCCUGGGUUGAGUAUAAGUUUCAUUUUCCUAACUAUAUAUACAUACAGACAGACAUAAGCUGUCAAUGAACAAUUUACAUUAGUCCAUUUAUGAUUAAUUCAACUUUGUACACCUGAUUUCCAGAAGGAAAAUAAAAUAUAUAACCUUAUUUUUACAUUGUGAUGGCCCUAAUGUCUCCACAGAAGCCAUUAUUAGAGUGGAAAUUAGCUGGGACCCAGUGCUUAGAAAGACUUCAUGUUAUUCUUCUACCAGAAAACCAGGAGACCUUUGGGGACCUCCAAUGCAGUUCUGUCAUCACUAACCCUUUCUGAUCUGUAUGGAAAUAGAAAGAAUUCUUCUAAACAGCACAGCAACACCUUCUCAAGACUUUCUCCAGGUCCACCAACCUGGAAGCAUGAAUAGAAUCACAGAGUACCAGUGCCUUGUCUUGCUUAUGUUCCAUCUACUCAGCAUGUCUGAAAUCCUGCCCAGAUUCUUUCUCAUGGCAUCCUGCUGGGAUUGCUGAACACAGAUCUUACUGACCACUUGGCUCCUGAUAGGUACUUCCACUUAGAGCUGGCAUCGAAAGUUCUAAUGGAAACCACCCUCAUUGCUGAUGGACGUUUUAUUAUUAUUCAAGUUUGAAAAUAGCCUGAUGUUCCAUGUUUACAUUGGGGAAAAUCUUUCUUCUGUUUUUAC
rnacentral:lncRNA from 1 species